CCUACGGGUGGCAGCAGUGAGGAAUAUUGGUCAAUGGACGGAAGUCUGAACCAGCCAUGCCGCGUGCAGGAAGACGGCUCUAUGAGUUGUAAACUGCUUUUGUACAAGGGUAAACCUGAAUACGUGUAUUCAGCUGAAAGUACUGUACGUAUAAGGAACGGCUAACUCCGUUCCAGCAGCCGCGGUAAGACGGAGGAUCCAAGCGUUAUCCGGAUUUAUUGGGUUUAAAGGGUGCGUAGGCGGUUAAACAAGUUAUAUGUUAAAUAUAUAGGCUAAACCUGUAGAAAGCAUAUAAAACUGUUUAACUAGAGAGCAGAAGAGGUAAGUGGAAUUCCUGGUGUAGCGGUGAAAUGCGUAGAGAUUAGGAAGAACACCAGUGGCGAAGGCGACUUCUGGACUGUAACUGACGCUGAGGCAUGAGAGCAUGGGGAGCAAACAGGAUUAGAUACCCUUGUAGUC
rnacentral:rRNA from 1 species